rnacentral:rRNA from 1 species
AGAGUUUGAUCAUGGCUCAGGACGAACGCUGACGGUGUGCUUUAGACAUGCAAGUCGAACGAGAAAGCCCUUCGGGGUGAGUACAGUGGCGAACGGCUGCGUAACACGUUGGUACCUGCCCCGAACUCAGGGAUAACUAUCCGAAAGGAUAGCUAAUACCGGAUGGUCUCGCGAGAGUAAAGCUUCGGCGGUUCGGGAGGGGCCUGCGGCCUAUCAGAUAGUUGGUAAGGUAACGGCUUACCAAGUCUAUGACGGGUAGCUGAUUUGAGAGAAUGAUCAGCCAGAAUGGAACUGAGACACGGUCCAUACUCCUACGGGAGGCAGCAGUGGGGAAUAUUGGACAAUGGGCGCAAGCCUGAUCCAGCAAUGCCGCGUGAGUGAUGAAGGCCUUAGGGUUGUAAAGCUCUUUCGCCCGCGACGAUGAUGACGGUAGCGGGAGAAGAAGCCCCGGCUAACUCCGUGCCAGCAGCCGCGGUAAUACGGAGGGGGCUAGCGUUGUUCGGAAUUACUGGGCGUAAAGGGCGCGCAGGCGGCUGCUCAAGUCAGGCGUGAAAGGCCUGGGCUCAACCCGGGAAUUGCGCUUGAGACUGGGCUGGCUUGAGUGCGGGAGAGGAUGGUGGAAUUCCCAGUGUAGAGGUGAAAUUCGUAGAUAUUGGGAAGAACACCGGUGGCGAAGGCGGCCAUCUGGACCGCAACUGACGCUGAGGCGCGAAAGCGUGGGGAGCAAACAGGAUUAGAUACCCCGGUAGUCC